rnacentral:rRNA from 1 species
AUGGCGAUGGCGUCCGCGCUCCCGCUCCUCCUCGGCCCCCGCCCCAUCAUCUCUCCGAGGCCCACUGCAACGGGCCGCUUCCUCUCCAGCUCCGCUCACCUGUCCACCGCCCCUGCCCCCGUCGAGCCCCUGAAGGGCGGCGGCCGCCUCGCGCGGCUCCAGACGCUCCACGCAGCCUCCUGCUGCAACUCCGCCCCCGCAGCAGCAUCUGGAGGAGUGGAGGCGGCCCGGGCGAAGGGCUUGCAGCUCGUGGCCUGGUACCUUCUGUCUCUUGACAAGCAUCCGGUGGCGACCAAGGCUGUCACUUCUGCUGUGCUGACUCUGGCCGGGGACCUCAUCUGCCAGCUUGUAAUUGAUAAAGUGCCAGAGCUAGACCUGAAGAGAACAUUUGUGUUCACGUUAUUGGGACUUGUCCUGGUGGGGCCAACGUUGCAUUUCUGGUACUUGUAUUUGAGUAAAUUAGUGACGAUCAGCGGGACAUCUGGUGUCAUUUCUCGCCUGUUACUUGACCAGUUCAUCUUCUCUCCUGUUUUCAUUGGUGUCUUCAUGAGCUUACUCGUAACCUUGGAGGGAAAGCCAUCUCUUGUAGUGCCAAAGCUUAAGCAGGAGUGGUUCUCUUCAUUGAUCGCGAAUUGGCAAUUGUGGAUACCGUUCCAGUUUUUGAAUUUCUAUUUUGUCCCACAGAAGCUCCAGGUUCUUGCCGCUAAUUUUGUAGCCCUUGCAUGGAACGUGAUUUUGUCAUACAAAGCUCAUAAGAAGGUUAUCGCGGAGUAA